CAGAACGAACGCUGGCGGCAGGCUUCAUACAUGCAAGUCGAGCGCACUCUUCGGAGUGAGCGGCGGACGGGUUAGUAACGCGUGGGAACGUGCCUCUUGCUACGGAAUAGCCCAGGGAAACUUGGAUUAAUACCGUAUACGCCCUUUUGGGGAAAGAUUUAUCGGCGAGAGAUCGGCCCGCGUCUGAUUAGGUAGUUGGUGGGGUAAUGGCCUACCAAGCCGACGAUCAGUAGCUGGUUUGAGAGGAUGAUCAGCAACACUGGGACUGAGACACGGCCCAGACUCCUACGGGAGGCAGCAGUAGGGAAUCUUGGACAAUGGGGGCAACCCUGAUCCAGCCAUGCCGCGUGAACGAUGAAGGCCUUAGGGUUGUAAAGUUCUUUCAGCUGGGAAGAUAAUGACGGUACCAGCAGAAGAAGCCCCGGCUAACUCCGUGCCAGCAGCCGCGGUAAUACGGAGGGGGCUAGCGUUGUUCGGAAUUACUGGGCGUAAAGCGCACGUAGGCGGAUCAGUCAGUUAGGGGUGAAAUCCCAGGGCUCAACCCUGGAACUGCCUCUAAUACUGCUGGUCUAGAGAUCGAGAGAGGUGAGUGGAAUUCCGAGUGUAGAGGUGAAAUUCGUAGAUAUUCGGAGGAACACCAGUGGCGAAGGCGGCUCACUGGCUCGAUACUGACGCUGAGGUGCGAAAGUGUGGGGAGCAAACAGGAUUAGAUACCCUGGUAGUCCACACCGUAAACUAUGAGAGCCAGUCGUCGGGCGGCAUGCCGUUCGGUGA
rnacentral:rRNA from 1 species